rnacentral:rRNA from 1 species
CUUAUCCUGGCUCAGGAUGAACGCUGGCGGCGUGCUUAACACAUGCAAGUCGAGCGGAGAAUAUUAAGUUGAGAGCUUCGGCAGGAUACUUAGUAUUCUUAGCGGCGGACGGGUGAGUAACGUGUGGGCAACCUGCCCUGUACUGUGGAAUAAUCACUGGAAACGGUGACUAAUACCGCAUGUCAUUGCGAGAGGGCAUCCUCUUGCAAGAAAAGGAUUUAUUCGGUACAGGAUGGGCCCGCAUCUGAUUAGCUAGUUGGUGAGAUAACAGCCCACCAAGGCAACGAUCAGUAGCCGACCUGAGAGGGUGAUCGGCCACAUUGGGACUGAGACACGGCCCAAACUCCUACGGGAGGCAGCAGUGGGGAAUAUUGCACAAUGGGCGAAAGCCUGAUGCAGCAACGCCGCGUGAAGGAUGAAGGGUUUCGGCUCGUAAACUUCUAUCAACAGGGACGAAAAAAAUGACGGUACCUGAAUAAGAAGCCCCGGCUAACUACGUGCCAGCAGCCGCGGUAAUACGUAGGGGGCAAGCGUUAUCCGGAAUUACUGGGUGUAAAGGGAGCGUAGGCAGCAUGGUAAGUUAGAUGUGAAAGCCCGUGGCUCAACCACGGGAUUGCAUUUAAAACUAUCAAGCUAGAGUACAGGAGAGGUAAGUGGAAUUCCUAGUGUAGCGGUGAAAUGCGUAGAUAUUAGGAAGAACAUCAGUGGCGAANGCGACUUACUGGACUGAAACUGACGCUGAGGCUCGAAAGCGUGGGGAGCGAACAGGAUUAGAUACCCUGGUAGUCCACGCCGUAAACGAUGAGUGCUAGGUGUCGGGGGGGGAACCCUCGGUGCCGCAGCUAACGCAAUGAGCACUCCACCUGGGGGAGUACGACCGCAAGGUUGAAACUCAAAGGAAUUGANGGGGGCCCGCACAAGCGGNGGANCAUGNUGGNUUUAAUUCNGAAGCAACGC